rnacentral:rRNA from 1 species
UUCGGAUGGAGCGGCAGACGGGUGAGUACGCGUGGGAACGUACCUUUUGGUUCGGAAUAUCUCGGGAAACUGAGAGCAAUACCGGAUAAGCCCUACGGGGGAAAGAUUUAUCGCCAAAAGAGCGGCCCGCGUUAGAUUAGCUAGUUGGUGGGGUAAAGGCCUACCAAGGCUACGAUCUAUAGCUGGUCUGAGAGGAUGAUCAGCCACAUUGGGACUGAGACACGGCCCAAACUCCUACGGGAGGCAGCAGUGGGGAAUCUUGGACAAUGGGCGCAAGCCUGAUCCAGCCAUGCCGCGUGGAUGAUGAAGGCCUUCGGGUUGUAAAAUCCUUUCAACGGGGACGAUAAUGACGGUACCCGUAGAAGAAGCCCCGGCUAACUUCGUGCCAGCAGCCGCGGUAAUACGAAGGGGGCUAGCGUUGCUCGGAAUUACUGGGCGUAAAGCGUACGUAGGCGGAUAUUUAAGUCGGAGGUGAAAGCCCAGUGCUCAACCCUGGAACUGCCCUCGAUACUGGGUAUCUGGACCAAAGUAGAGGUUAGUGGAAUUCCAAGUGUAGAGGUGAA